CCUACGGGGGGCUGCAGUGAGGAAUAUUGGUCAAUGGCCGUAAGCCUGAACCAGCCAAGUAGCGUGAGGGAAGACUGCCCUAUGGGUUGUAAACCUCUUUUAUGCGGGGAUAAAGGUGUCCACGUGUGGAUGUUUGCAGGUACCGCAAGAAGAAGGAACGGCUAAUUACGUGCCAGCAGCCGCGGUAAUACGGAGGGUCCGGGCGUUAUCCGGAUUUAUUGGGUUUAAAGGGAGCGGUGGCGGGUCGUGAAGGUUGCCGUGAAAGUUGGGGGCUUAACCAUGGAAGUGCGGCGGAAACUGGAGACCUUGAGUGCGCGAGAGGCAGGCGGAAUUCGUGGUGUAGCGGUGAAAUGCUUAGAUAUCACGAAGAACCCCGGUGGCGAAGGCAGCCUGCCGGAGCGUUACUGACGCUGAGGCUCGAAAGCGCGGGUAUCGAACAGGAUUAGAUACCCCAGUAGUC
rnacentral:rRNA from 1 species